GAUGAAAGUUGAGCAGAAAUCCUUCUACCAGAACCUGACCACGGAAGCUCUUCCUCCAGAACCUGACCACCGGCCGUUCCUGGGGCACACUACCAGGAGCUGGGGUUUAUCUUGCUCUUCUACCUAGUUUUUUUAAUGGGUUCUUGGCUGCACUAAUUCUCAUUUAUGAUGUGGGCUAUGCUUCAGACUCUGAAUGAUGAGGUUCCAAAGCAUCGUGACCAAAUUCCUACUUCAGGACUUAUGGUUUUUCCAAAACCAGUGACUGUGUUGGAAUAUACAUUCAGUGUGUCUGAUCCAAGUUCUUAUGAAGGGUACUUUAAAAACCUUAAGAAGUUUCUAAAGUCAUCUACUUUAGAAGAACAGAAGAACCUUACAGUCUGUCCUGAACCUUACACCAAUGGAGUACUUUUUGAACAGAAGGGUCCAGUUUAUAUUGCAUGUCGAUUUCCCAUUUUCUUUCUUCAAGCAUGCAGUGAUGUGAAUGAUCCUGAUUUUGGCUAUUCUCAAGAAAAGCCUUGUAUUCUUGUGAAAAUAAACAGAAUAAUUGGAUUAAAGCCGGAAGGAGAGCCAAGGAUAGAUCGUGUUUCAAAGGAUGCAGACAUAGCAGCAAUAGAAACAUAUCCUCCAAACAGAAUGAUGGACUUGGAAUAUUUUCCAUGUGAUGGAGAAAAAACUGCAUGUGGGGCAUUUACAGUCAUUAGUUGCUGUUCAGGUCCUCGUUUAUUUUAGCAGUACCAGGAAGGAAGUAACAGUUGAGUGCAAGAUUGAUGGAUCACCCAACCUAAAAAACCAAGAUGAUCGUGACAAGUUUUGGGGACGAAUUGCAUUCAAAAUCACAGCAUGUGUGUAGUAUGAGUAGGAUGUCUCCACAGAGUAAAAUGUUGUGUUGUCUAUGUGUCUUUGUUUUGUAUCAGCUGGACCUGCCAUUCUAGAAUUAUGAGGCCACCUUGCAGAAAGGUGGUGUGGUACAUGACACUGGGGUAAUGUCAUAAUGAGCUUCCAGAUUGUAGUGUUCAGUGUCUUCUGAAGUGACUGCCUGUUGCCUCUGCUGCCCUUUGAACAGUGAACACCUGAUGCAGAACAUGUACAGUUAGGAGUCUCGUCCUCUUUUUAU